rnacentral:rRNA from 1 species
UACGUAGGAGCAAGCGUUGUCCGGAAUCAUUGGGCGUAAAGCGCGCGUAGGUGGCCAUGUAAGUCCGCUGUGAAAGUCGAAGGCUCAACCUUCGAAAGCCGGUGGAUACUGCAUGGCUAGAGUACGGAAGAGGCGAGUGGAAUUCCUGGUGUAGCGGUGGAAUGCGCAGAUAUCAGGAGGAACACCAAUAGCGAAGGCAGCUCGCCGGGACGUUACUGACACUGAGGCGCGAAAGCGUGGGGAGCGAACAGG